AGUGAACGCUGGCGGUAGGCCUAACACAUGCAAGUCGAACGGCAGCACAGUAAGAGCUUGCUCUUACGGGUGGCGAGUGGCGGACGGGUGAGGAAUACAUCGGAAUCUACUUUUUCGUGGGGGAUAACGUAGUGCAACUUACGCUAAUACCGCAUACGACCUACGGGUGAAAGCAGGGGAUCUUCGGACCUUGCGCGAUUGACUGAGCCGAUGUCGGAUUAGCUAGUUGGCGGGGUAAAGGCCCACCAAGGCGACGAUCCGUAGCUGGUCUGAGAGGAUGAUCAGCCACACUGGAACUGAGACAUGGUCCAGACUCCUACGGGAGGCGGCAGUGGGGAAUAUUGGACAAUGGGCGCAAGCCUGAUCCAGCCAUACCGCGUGGGUGAAGAAGGCCUUCGGGUUGUAAAGCCCUUUUGUUGGGAAAGAAAAGCAGCAGGUUAAUACCCCGCUGUUCUGACGGUACCCAAAGAAUAAGCACCGGCUAACUUCGUG
rnacentral:rRNA from 1 species